GAUGAACGCUGGCGGCGUGCCUAAUACAUGCAAGUCGAGCGAACAGAUGAGGAGCUUGCUCCUCUGUCGUUAGCGGCGGACGGGUGAGUAACACGUGGAUAACCUACCUAUAAGACUGGGAUAACUUCGGGAAACCGGAGCUAAUACCGGAUAAUAUAUUGAACCGCAUGGUUCAAUAGUGAAAGACGGUUUUGCUGUCACUUAUAGCUGGAUCCGCGCCGCAUUAGCUAGUUGUUAAGGUAACCGCAUACCAAGGCAACGAUGCGUAGCCGACCUGAGAGAGUGUGCGACGACACGGGAAAAAGAAACGGGUCACGGAACCUGCGGAAGGCAGCAGAAGAGAAUCUGACGAAUUGGGCGAAAGCUUGACGGAACAACGACGAGUGAGAGAGGAAGAUCUUCGGAUAGUAAAACUCUGUUAUUGGGGAAGAACAAAUGUGUAAGUAAAUGUGCACGUCUUGACAGUACCUGAUAAGAAAGCAACGGAUAACUACGUG
rnacentral:rRNA from 1 species